UCUCUCCCUCCCCGAAGCUGUGAGGACCUCUGAGGGACAUUCUUAGACGAGUUGAGCUGCCCAGAAGAGACGCAGACCAAUUGAACUACCAGGAAAAGAUGCUCCAAUCUGAUACGUACCUGCAGGCUUCCAGCUUUUGCCCUUGCCCGGCUCAUGUACUAUGGUACAAUGACUCGAGAACUGUACAGAGAGAGUAACGCAGGUGCAGGCGUUACAAAGGUGGAAGGAGUGUAAGGGCCAGAAGAUGGGGAGACGUGCAGCAAGUAGACAUCUUCUGGACGUGACUCAGCUGCUGCCCUCAUGAACUCAGUUCCUUUGUGGUUGUCCGCACAAGACCAACACAAGGUUGAGCCUUUCGACAACUCAUCCCUGAUAGAGCAGGGGCCCAUGGGACUAUUGGCUGUUCCUGGUCGCUGCAGCUGCAGUCAUUUUCUUCAGUCGUGUAACCACAGAUACACCGCCCGUGCGCCAAUAAAUAGCCUUCCACCUACACUCUGACAUGAAACUUUAAUUCAACCCAGUGGACUACAGACAAGAAGAAGUGCAGACUGUCGGUGCAGUGCGACCAGCUGCCACCAUGAUGUUCUUCCCAUGGUGACUGCAUCAUCAAAGG